CCCCCUUUCAUCAUCAAUUUAUUUGGUUUGCCAUCUUGCUCAGCCACUAUAGCUUUUAUUCUGGUUAGCUAUUGUUGGAUUUUUUCUUAGAAGGCCCGACCUUGUUAUUUCCUUUGUUUUUCACUAUUUUUCUUUAGUUAUUCCAGUUGUUCAUCACUGUUGAUCGCUGGUGGUUGAACUCCCAGUUGCGCCACCAUGGCUCUAGCC
rnacentral:lncRNA from 1 species